UAGAGUUUGAUCAUGGCUCAGGAUGAACGCUAGCGGCAGGCUUAAUACAUGCAAGUCGAACGGUAAGGUUUCUUCGGAGACACACGAGUGGCGCACGGGUGCGUAACGCGUAUGCAACCUACCUUUAACUGGGAGAUAGCCCCGAGAAAUCGGGAUUAAUACCCCAUAAUAUCCAGUGAUUGCAUAUUCAUUGGAUUAAAGCUCCGGCGGUUAAAGAUGGGCAUGCGUGGCAUUAGCUAGUUGGUGAGGUAACGGCUCACCAAGGCAACGAUGCCUAGGGGUCCUGAGAGGGUUAACCCCCACACUGGUACUGAGACACGGACCAGACUCCUACGGGAGGCAGCAGUAAGGAAUAUUGGGCAAUGGACGCAAGUCUGACCCAGCCAUGCCGCGUGCAGGAUGACUGCCCUAUGGGUUGUAAACUGCUUUUGUACAGGAAAAAACUUCCGGUCGUGCACCGGGACUGAUGGUACUGUGCGAAUAAGCAUCGGCUAACUCCGUGCCAGCA
rnacentral:rRNA from 1 species